rnacentral:misc_RNA from 1 species
UGGCCAAGAAAAUAAGUGAUGUUGGCUGGAAUCUGAAGCAGAAUUUCCGUUUUCCUUCCAUGGGAACCAUAAACAGCCUGUUAUUGGUUGUAGCAGACAUUACAUACACACUAUACUUGAUAGAAAUGUAAACCUCUCUCUCUCAUACUCACACAACACAGACCAAGCCACACAGUAUUGCUGGCUCACAUCAGCAGCAGUAACUGUACAACUCUACAGCAGGAUACAUACACAGUUCAGCUAUCGGCACAUUGGAGAAAAAUUUGCAGUAUUGAUUUACUAUCAAUGACUUCAUAAAAUCAUUAUAAAGAUAAUGUUGGUGCCAAUAUUGUUACUACUAUUUCUUCCGAAAUUAUCACAAACUGUUGACAUAACCUAUAAUGUGAAAGAGAACCAAGCUCCAGGCACAUACAUUGGAGACAUUGCUAUUGACUCACAUUUAGGAAGCAGUAUUCCAUCACAAGAUCACAGUCUUCUUUGGUUUAGCCAACUUACUAGCAGUUCUCAGCUAUUUAAUGUCUCUAAGACAGGGAAAUUUUAUACCUCAUUAAUAUUAGAUGCUGAAUCUCUUUGUAAAUACAAGACAGAAUGUUUCAGAAUAGUAGAUGUUGCAGUCAGCCACAAAGAAUCUUUUGUAAAAAUAUUAGAAAUCAAAGUUAUUAUUGAAGACGCCAAUGACAAUCAACCUAAAUUUCCAGAGAAACAAGUAGAAAUAAUGUUCUCUGAAAGAGACAGCAUUGGAUCUUGGACAGCAAUACCAAAUGCUAUGGAUAAUGAUGUAAGCAUUCAAAGUUCACGGAUAACUUAUCAUCUAAAGAAAACAAAACAAGAACCUUUCACAUUAUCUGUUUUCAGAAACUUAGAUGGUUCUGCUAAACUUGGAAUAGUUUUACAAGAGAAACUUGACAGAGAACUGAAAGAUUCUUAUCAACUUCAAGUUAUUGCAAAAGAUGGUGGCCAUCCCCCUAAAGAAGGUGUUCUAAAUCUCCAAAUAUUAAUUCGAGAUGAAAAUGACAAUUCCCCAAUUUUCUCCCAAAAUAUUUACAAUGUUUCUAUCAAAAAUAGUUAUCAAAGAUCAAUGCCUAUAGUCACUUUAUCAGCAACUGACUUAGAUUCUGGUGAAAAUGGUAAAGUAAUGUUCCAGUUCAGUUCCAAAACAUCAGAGAGUGCCAGAGCCUAUUUUAAAUUAAAUGAAUCAACAGGAGAAAUCUGGCAACUGCAAAAGUUUCCACCAGGAUCAAAAAAAUUAUACAAACUGUAUGUUAAAGCCAAGGAUGGAGGAAAUCCAUCUUUGAGCUCAGUUGCUAUGGUUUUAGUGAAUAUAAAUAGUCAAGAGAAUAAUCCUCCUGAUAUAGACAUGAAUUUUAUAUCAAAAUCAGCAGCACAUCUAGCCAGUAUUUCAGAGGGAGUAAAAAUUGGUAGCUUUAUUGCUUAUGUAAAAGUCACUGAUAAUGAUAUUGGACAGAAUGGUGAAGUUCAUUGUUUGCUUCACCAUGAUAAGUUGCAGCUCCAAGGUCUUGGAAGAAAUAAAUAUAAAGUUAUAGUAAAAAAGGUUAUAGAUAGAGAAAGUAAGAGUUAUAUCAAUUUUACCAUUUCUUGUGAAGAUAAAGGAUUUCCACCCCUGAAGACAGACAAACAUUUUUAUAUACAAGUAAUGGAUAUAAACGAUGUACAACCAGAAUUUAUCAAAUCCUUAUUUAGAUUCCAAACAUAUGAAAAUGAAGAAGCAAACUUUCCUGUGGGCUUUAUAAAUGCCUCAGAUCCAGACUUAGGAUCUGGAGGAGAAUUAAAAUAUUCCCUGUUGAAUAACAAUGAAGAUAUUCUCCCAUUCAAGAUUUCAAACUUUGGAUUUAUUUCAACAAUUUCAACAUUAGACCAUGAAAAACAAGAUGUUUAUAAGUUCAAAGUCUUGGUAGAAGAUAAAGGAAUACCCUCUUUAAGUGAUACAGCAAAUAUAAUUGUUGAAGUGAUGGAUAAAAAUGACAACGUUCCAUAUUUUACAUUUCCUAGUGUUGAUCCCUUUAAUCUGGAUGUCCACUACCAUCCACAAAGUAACACCGAGAUAACAACAUUAAGAGCUUCUGAUAGAGACAGUCAUGUGAAUGCUUUCCUCAGAUAUGAAAUAUUUGGAGGAAAUAACAGACAAUUAUUCUCAGUUAACCCCUAUUCUGGUGUUAUAUCAUUCUCUCGUCCCAUUUACCAAAAUGAUGCUGGAUCAUAUACUUUGAACUUAGUUGUCAAAGAUAGUGGCACUCCAGUUUUAUCAGCAACCACUACACUGUCUUUGACACUAACUGUUAGCAAUACAACAGCCAGAAUGUACACAGCUGAAGACACGGAAUCAGACAACAGAAUUCAUAUUAACUUGAUGAUUAUAAUUGUGGUAGCAGCAGUGAUAGUUUCUGUGGCCAUUGUAGUUUCAGUGAUAGUAUGUGUUGUCCAUAAAAGGCAUCAAAGAGACGUCCAGUACGCUACAAACAAUGAGUUUGUUGGUGAACAAAGACAGUCAGGAUAUGUCUGUGAACUAAUGUCACCUAAAUAUGAUAUCCCAGUUGCUAUGGUAACAGAUGCAGACUGCAAUCGCACCCCUAAAGCAACACUAAUAAGAAGAGACCCAAAUUCUGAUUAUGAACCUGGGUGUGACUGGGAAGUUUCCUCUGCAGAAGUCCAUCCUCAGUUCCUUACUACACAAUCUCACCAGCAGGGCCUCGGACAUAGGCCAACAUGAGCCUAUAAUUGUGUCUCUUGACCGUCUUAAUGACAUAUCAACAAUCCCAUCAAAUGCAGAAAAUAAUCAAGAAUGGAAUGAAAGAAAUGCUGGACAUUAUGAAACUCUACCAGGUCUAAAGUAUUUUCCGCAAGAACAGACUCCAAGUUCAG